ACGUAGCGAAAUGCGAUAC
rnacentral:siRNA from 1 species